AUUGAACGCUGGCGGCAUGCCUUACACAUGCAAGUCGAGCGGCAGCACGGGAGCAAUCCUGGUGGCGAGUGGCGAACGGGUGAGUAAUAUAUCGGAACGUGCCCAGUCGUGGGGGAUAACGCAGCGAAAGCUGUGCUAAUACCGCAUACGAUCUACGGAUGAAAGCGGGGGAUCGCAAGACCUCGCGCGAUUGGAGCGGCCGAUAUCAGAUUAGCUAGUUGGGGAGGUAAAGGCUCACCAAGGCGACGAUCUGUAGCUGGUCUGAGAGGACGACCAGCCACACGGGAACUGAGACACGGUCCAGACGCCUACGGGAGGCAGCAGUGGGGAAUUUUGGACAAUGGGCGCAAGCCUGAUCCAGCAAUGCCGCGUGCAGGAUGAAGGCCUUCGGGUUGUAAACUGCUUUUGUACGGAGCGAAACGGUCUUUCCUAACACGAGAGGCUAAUGACGGUACCGUAAGAAUAAGCACCGGCUAACUACGUGCCAGCCGCCGCAGUAAGAC
rnacentral:rRNA from 1 species